UUAUAAGCCGCUAGCAGGAAGUAGCCAGGAGACAGGACAUGAGAUCGAUGACAUUUCUGCUCAAAAGCAGACUUCCAGCGCCAUGAAGAUGUGUUUGACUGUAGAAACUGGGUUGAGGCCAGGAUUCUCUUUUUGAUGGCCAACUAAAGAAAAGAAUCACCAAGUCCAAGGAUCAAGUUUGGAAGAUUCCAGCCAGGAAGCUGAGCACCAACUGCUCUGUCUGGGCAGGUAGGAGGCUCUCAAGCCAACCUUUUACAAUUCUCACCUUUACCUGCAGCACAUGGACUGUACUGCCAUCCUUUUCCCCCCCAAAAAAACAAAUAUAUCUGCUGUCCAUCACUAGUUCUCUAAUACAGGCUGUCAAUCAAACUACAAUUCUAGCUCUGCCUCUCUAUGAGUUGAAACUAGUCUUCUGUUCCUAGCCCAUAACACCACAUAUAUAUAUAUGUUUAGUGCAUUGAUUUGUAGCACGUAUAGCUUACAUACAGGUGACAGGAAGUGGAGGAGAAUAAAGUGUAAAGGUGACAGGAAGUGGAGGAGAAUAAAUGUGUAAAGGUGACAGGAAGUGGAGGAGAAUAAAUGUGUGCCAUGUUUGUUUUGGUGUGUGAGUGAGCAGCAAACACCAGGAAGUAGGGAAGGAAGGAAGAAAGGAAGGAAAGAAGGAGGGAAGGGGGGAAGAAAGGAAGGAAGGAGUGAAGGAAGAAAAGGGAAGGAG